ACGGCCAUAGCUCAGUGGAUAAGCAUCUGUUUUUCAUGUAAAAGGUCCUCGGUUCAAUCCCCAGGUAGGGCUGGA